AAUGUGCUCUGGUCAUCUUCCCAGCUGGGAAGAAGUCCAGACAGAGGCCAAACCUUCAGCAGAAAGAGAGGACCCCAGGCACACCUACACACCUUUGUCCUUGGGCUGGACAGGAGGCAUUUCUGUGGCAGCUAGUGCCCAACAGCUGCAGACACAAGUGGGAUAGCACAGGCUGCCCUGGGAAGUGGUGGAGUCACUGUCCCCGGAGGUUUUCAAGAAGUGUGUACAUGUGGCACUGAGGGAUGUGGUUUAGUGGGUACGGUGGUAAUGGGUCAGUGGUUGGACUGGACGAUCUUAGAGUCAGACCUUUAAAUGCCGCCUGGUCCAACUCCCCUGCAGUGAACAGGGACAUCGACAGCUACAUCAGGUUGCCCAGGGCCUGAUCUUAGAGAUUUUCUCCAACGCCACAGAUUCUGUGAUUGUUUGAUUCCAAGACUCGUGCUUCCACUUGUGUCUCUGCAGAGGUGGUUCUUCAAACCUAUGCUUCUCCACCCCACCCCUAUCUCCUCUCUCCCUCUCUCCUGCAGGUAGGUGGAGUAGGUGAGAAUGGGUGACAAGAAGAUGACCGUGGCACGAGCAUGGUGUGAGCACUGGAUGAACUAUGGGUUCACUAUGAAGGGACCUUGAGGAUCAUGGAUCAAAAGGGGAGCGUGGACAGACCAAGAGGACACUGGAGCAAAUAGUGGGCGGUUCUUCAAACCUAUGCUUCUUCACCCCACCACUAUCUCCUCUCUCCAUCUCUCCUGCAGGAAGGUGGAGCUACAUUCCCAUGGAAGGUAAAGCUUGGAGAGUAAAGCCAGGUGAGCUCUGAACUGCUCCGCACCAUCAACCCUUUGCUCGACUGCAUCACGCUCCCAAAGUCCCCUCCUGUCCCAUUCUGUGCUCAAGCACACAGUGGCAUCCCAUCUCCUCAGCCUCAAGAAGCAGAAGGGGAGCUCUGAGCUGCUCCACACCAUCACCUCCUUUCUUCUACUGCAUCACACUCCCAGUAUUCCACCCCCUCCCAUCCCUCUGGAUGUGCCCUUCCGAAAGCAGAGCUGGCUUGGGCUCUUCACCUUUUCCCUCUGCAUCCAGAGUAGGGACCUGGCUCCAGCUGAGCCAUUCAGGCUAAGGAAGUCAGAAAUAUUUCUGCCAGCUGCGUCAUCACAACUGAUAAAGCAGAAGUACGGGGAUGUGGAAGCCAAGCGAUCCGUGGAGUAGAGGUUUACCCAGAGGUCUGCUGAGAUCAAUUAAAAUUCCGGGCACUCGUGGUGCUUAAGAUGUCCAAA